rnacentral:tRNA from 1 species
GGACUAUGGCUCAGUGGUAGAAUGCUUGCCUAGAACGCAUGAUGCACUGGGUUUAAUCCUCAGAACCA